rnacentral:rRNA from 1 species
GUGAGGAAUAUUGCGCAAUGGAGGCAACUCUGACGCAGCCAUGCCGCGUGCAGGAAGAAGGCGCUACGCGUUGUAAACUGCUUUUAACCGGGAAGAAACCCCAGGACGUGUCCUGGGUUGACGGUACCGGAGGAAUAAGCACCGGCUAACUUCGUGCCAGCAGCCGCGGUAAUACGAAGGGUGCAAGCGUUAUCCGGAUUCAUUGGGUUUAAAGGGUGCGUAGGCGGAGCGUUAAGUCAGUGGUGAAAUCCUGCAGCUUAACUGUAGACUUGCCAUUGAUACUGGCGCGCUUGAGUGCGCUUGAAGUGGGCGGGAUGUGCCGUGUAGCGGUGAAAUGCUUAGAUAUGGCACAGAACACCAAUUGCGAAGGCAGCUCACUAAGGCGAUACUGACGCUGAGGCACGAAAGCGUGGGGAUCGAACAGGAUUAGAAACCCCUGUAGUCC